rnacentral:rRNA from 1 species
CAUUCGAGUGGCGGACGGGUGAGUAACGCGUGGGUAACCUGCCUUACACAGGGGGAUAACACCUGGAAACAGGUGCUAAUACCGCAUAAGCGCACAGGGCCGCAUGGCCCGGUGUGAAAAACUCCGGUGGUGUAAGAUGGACCCGCGUCUGAUUAGCUUGUUGGCGGGGUAGGGGCCCACCAAGGCGACGAUCAGUAGCCGGCCUGAGAGGGUGGACGGCCACAUCGGGACUGAGACACGGCCCAAACUCCUACGGGAGGCAGCAG